rnacentral:rRNA from 1 species
AUGCACUUGCAUAAGCACGACAACGAUGUGAGCACCAUUGCACACACAAUAUUUACAAAAAAAGUCUUCCUUUAAUUGGGAAAGAAUCAAUAUAUUUAUAAUGUUGAAUCAAGAUUUCCUAAUAAGACAAAAAUAAACCAUUGGAUGAAACUGUUCUUCAGUGUUAAGGUAAUAACUGUGAAUAAGUCGACUACCUGGAAAAGAUAG